GACGAAUUUGCCUAAGUGACCAUGCACCACGCAUUGCAUGUACCAAACAAACACGCGGUCGGUUAACGCGCUGAAUCCGGUGACACGGGCAAGUUUCACUGCAUUCUUUAGUGUGAUGCCGUUACUCCUUAAGGUGUGUGUGGGUGGGGGGGACAGUUAGGCUGUGGCCAGAUCUUCACAGAAAGCUUUAGAAAUAUGCCACUGCCUUCUGCCAUACCUGUACACCAUCUCCUUUGAUGUACACACCCACGUCACCACUGUGGUUCAACUGCUGGUGCAUGAGUAAGUGGUGACCUGAGGGGACAGGUGAUUGGACUCUGUCCUCUGAGAGAUUAACAACAUUAAGGACAUGAAGAUGGACCAGAAAACAGUCAGGCCAUGGUGACUGUCCUGGUGAGGUACUCAGGCCACGCACACUUGAGAGCUGAGUUAAUGGGGAAUUUUUUUAAAGUAAUCCACCAGAUGUCAUUACUGCAGCAGGUCCCCUAGUGACAUGAGCUAAAAUAUUGUUAUUGUAAAUCCACCUUUAGCCCCAGAGCCUUAAUAGAUAGAAAGGACAGACUCUUAUUCACCACCCUGCAUGUGGCUUUGGCAUACAACCAUACCCAAGUCUCUGCAUCAGAGGCCAACUGGUUUAUCCUGCUAUGUUAUAACAGACCCACCUCUUUUCCUGCAUCUGAUAAGAUCAGUUAAUCAGUAUAUCAUAUUGCUGUGAAAAGGUAGCCAAUGACAAAUUCUGGUUUUGAUAUUACCUUUCAGUAUAAAACUCACCCAUAAUGUAACGUAUAAGAAGGUGUAAAGUAUAAUAACCCAAAGAAAUACUAAAAAUGUCAGAGUAUGAAAGAAAUAUCCAUAAGUAAUCAAUCAUAUAUUUUCCUUUGAAUUAAUAAUAAUCUCCAGUUUCCCAGAGAUAAUGAGUUGCUACAACAUAUUAACUCAAUGUCACAGUCAGUACUGUUUUGUAUGAGCUUGGUGAUUAAUGAGUUGUGACAAAAUUUCACAUGUGCACAUAUGUUAAAAAAUGUAUGUAAAUUAUUAUAAAUGAUUUUUAUUUGAAGAAAAUCUAUUUUCAUCAUGAAACAGUAUACGAGUGUAGCAAAGCUAUAUAUGAAGAGAGGAAACAGUUGUUAGAUCUUAAGGCAUAUAUAUAUAUAUAUAUAUAUAUAUAUAUAUAUAUAUAUAUAUAUAUAUAUAUAUAUAUAUAUAUAUAUAUAUAUAUAUAUAUAUAUAUAUAUAUAUAUAUAUACUAUUAUCUGCAGAUGUUAAUUAUAUGUUCUAAAAAAUAUAUUUACAUAUAAAACCUCAUAUAAAACCUGUCAGAUCUAACUCCAGUUUUUAUUUCAAUAUUGUAUGCAUAUCAAUGACUAGCUUAGUUUCAGAGCAGUAAGAUUAAUUAUGCUGUGUAGUGUCAGAAUCAAAUCCUAAAUCCUGUGUCAAUUACAUAUUUUGAAGUUUUUAAAAAGUUCUAUUCUGCAAGUCCUGUCGUAUGUACAAUAACUAAGAAACACUUAAAUGUUCUAUCAGAGAAUAUACAAAGUAAUAACAAGUACAGUAAAGUGAAGAAAAUCUCCUACAUCCAAUGCUGCUUUGAGUCUUGGAAGCGGUGAUCACAACAUAAGCAGAUCAAGCUCAAUCAAUCUCUUCAACAUAUGUUGCUGGGAACAUACCCACAACACUGUCCAGCUCUCCAACCCACCAUCCAUCAGCUUGCUUCUCGUGAAUGUUGAUUAUAUCACCUGGUGAAAAAAUGUUUAAACUAAAUUAUCAACUUAGAACAAUGAUGGCACACACAUUUUAAGUACAAUUACAAAUAAUCCACUUCAAUGAAUAAUUAAUUUAUAAGCAUUAAAAGAAACUAUAAAUUACAUAAAUCAAGACAGCUUUCCUAAUUUCAUAAUAGUUACCAGUGACUGUCAGAAUUUCUGAAGUAUAUCAAGCAAAGAGACUUCUUUUCAUAAUGUUGAAAACAAGAAAAAGAAUAUUUUGGAGACUAAAAACAUUUGUAUGACAUGAAUGUAACAAUUACCUGUCCUGAUGGUGAGCUCAUCAUACAUGUUGGCUUCAUAGUCAUAGAGAGCCUUGCACCUGCUGCCUGUUGCAGCAGUAGGCAGUGGGUGAGCAUAAUAUGGUAUGUCUUUGAUGUUGGGUUCAGCAUUUUCAUCAUUCAUGGUGGCCUGAUAGUCUCGAUCUGAGCCUUGAGAGCUGAACUCGUC